rnacentral:rRNA from 1 species
UACGGGGGGGGCAAGCGUUGUUCGGAAUUACUGGGCGUAAAGGGCUCGUAGGCGGCCAACUAAGUCAGACGUGAAAUCCCUCGGCUUAACCGGGGAACUGCGUCUGAUACUGGAUGGCUUGAGUUUGGGAGAGGGAUGCGGAAUUCCAGGUGUAGCGGUGGAAAUGCGUAGAUAUCUGGAGGAAUACCGGUGGCGAAGGCGG